rnacentral:rRNA from 1 species
UACAGAGGGGGCAAGCGUUGUUCGGAAUUACUGGGCGUAAAGGGCGCGUAGGCGGCCUGCUAAGUCGGACGUGAAAUCCCCGGGCUCAACCCGGGAACUGCGUCCGAUACUGGUUGGCUUGAAUCCGGGAGAGGGAUGCGGAAUUCCAGGUGUAGCGGUGAAAUGCGUAGAUAUCUGGAGGAACACCGGUGGCGAAGGCGGCAUCCUGGACCAACAUUGACGCUGAGGAGCGAAAGCUAGGGGAGCAAACGGG